rnacentral:rRNA from 1 species
UACAGAGACUGCAAGCGUUACUCGGAUUCACUGGGCGUAAAGGGAGCGCAGGCGGACGGGUGUGUCAGAUGUGAAAUCCCGGGGCUCAACCCCGGGGCUGCAUCUGAAACUACCUGUCUGGAGAUUCGGAGGGGUAAGCGGAAUUCCUGGUGGAGCAGUGAAAUGCGUAGAUAUCAGGAGGAACACCAACGGCGAAGGCAGCUUACUGGACGAAAUCUGACGCUCAGGCUCGAAAGCAUGGGGAGCAAAAGGG